GAUAGGAAGGUUGGAGUGGCCUUGAGGCGUCCUGGGUGAAGCCACCCAACUGUCAGGCGGCCAUAUUGUCGUAGGAUAGGCAGCAACUGCAGGGCAGAGAUGAAACACGUCAUGGAAGUAUUUCGCUAUGUUGGAAUGUAUGUAUGACCCCUCUUUUAUGUUGGGGUUGGGAUGAGGUCCCAUAGUUACUAAGGAGAGUCAGGUCCGUAUGGGUUGGGCUAUGAUGAGUCAGGUUAGCUCGAGUUAAGCCUGUGUCAGGGUGCUUAUUAAGGAGUGUCAGGUCUUGACCCAAGUCGACCUACACAUACUCUCUCAGUCAAUAAUUCAGUAGAGCUCUCGUAUAGAGAGAGUAAAGACAGGAGUGUUGCUCCGUGCGUGGUGUGAAAUGCCGACUACCUGUGUUGCAUUUGGGUGCAAUGAACAAGCGAACAAAAAAUCUGAUCCAUCCAUUACAUUUCACCAGCUACCAAAGGACCCGAGCAGAAGAAAGGAAUGGCUUGCAGCUAUACGAAGAGACAACUACACCCCAGGCAAACAGGCACGGCUCUGCUCCAAGCACUUUAGACCUGAUGAUUUCGACAGGACGUCCUUGUGUUACGUGAGGCUGCGAGAUGGUGUUGUUCCCAGCAUAUUUGAGGCUUUCCCUUCACACUUACAGAAAAAAACAAGCAAAAGGAAACCUCCCAAAUCUCGCCCUCUCUGUGAUCCUGCCUCACAAGAAGCGCAAGAUAGUGGACAUUCUACUUUAGCUGUGCCGGAAAAUCCUGUGCAAACAAACUCAGGUGAGUCACCAACCAAAGCCCAGCUAAAGAGGAAGCUGGGAGAAACAGAAACACAACUCGUGAAGUCUAGAAAAAAAAUUAAACUGUUGCAUCAGAAAACAAGACGACUCAAGAAAAAAAAUGCCGAAUUGUGUUCUGUGAUCAGUGCAUUGAAACAAAAAAACCUAGUAAGUGAAAAUAGUUUGAGAUAGGAAGUAUUGAAAAGAUUAAUGAAAUGUUGCUUACUUCUCCAAAACCAGUCUUAGAAUAUCUUUUAACUUAUAAGAUGAGUCAGGACCAUAUUGAAUUGUUUUUCAGCAUGAUAAGAAGUAAGGGAGGGUUCAAUAACAAUCCAUCUGCUCGGCAGUUCUUAGCUGCCUACAAGAGGGUGUUGACACACUCUGAAAUACAAGAAGUAAGUCGUGGGAAUUGUAUGCCUUUAGAGUCUGUCCCGAUCCUCACCGCCUCGAGUCACUAUUUAGAGGCUCCUAAUGCAAGUGUACCUUCUAGCAGUGUCAUCAACCAUUCCCUUCAUAAAAGCAGAGUUCUAGAGGCUGUUGUAACUGAUGAAAACAAGGAAUCUGAGGUGGGCAGCAAAAGCUUAGCUUCUGCCUGUGUUCUUUCUCCUUACUCUGACAAAAUCGUUAGCUAUAUAGCCGGGUUUGUCAGUUUAAAGCUUAAGAGAUUUUUAAAUUGUGAGUCGUGUUGUAAUGCUCUAUUUAGCCAUCAUCCGGAUGCGACUCACGGAUUAAUCUCAGUUAAAAAUAAAGGCCACCUCUCUUUUCCAUCCAGAGAUGUUGUUGCCAUUUGCCUUGUGUGUGAAAGGAAAUUCAGAGAGAAAGUGUUACUGUGUAGUGACCAACCAUAUGCAAAGCUGUCAACACAUGCUUGGCACAACAUUGUAACACUUGUACUGUCUGAGUUCCAGGAGAGGAUUGUCUUCUCCAGCCUGGCACAACACAUGUUAGACAGUGAGCCUGUCACUAAUCAUCUCCUGUUACUAAUCAAGGCUGUAGCCGAGACCUAUCUGCAGGUCAGGUACAGAUAUGCAGCCAGACAGUUUACUGCAAGACUGAUUUCCCGUAAAGGGGUCAAAAGUAGAACCACGAUGAACAAAUUAGUAUUAUUUAGUGGAAUGUGAUUAUGUAUAUAAUCUAUAAUAUCUAGUUAUAAGGACAUGUUGGCAUACAAUAUAUGGGUAGCAGUAA